GGUCAAGUUAGAAAGGGCGUAUGGUGGAUGCCCAGGCACUUAGAGCCGAAGAAGGACGCAGCAAGCGGCGAAACGCUCCGGGGAGUCGCAAGCAGACGUAGAUCCGGAGAUAUCCGAAUGGGGAAACCCGCUUAAGGUAAUACUUAAGCAUCCCAUGGUGAACACAUAGCCAUGGGAAGGGAAACCGCGUGAACUGAAACAUCUAAGUAGCGCGAGGAGAAGAAAGAAAACAGGGCCUCCCAGCGGAGAGACUCCGCUGGGAAGGUAGUGUCGAUUUCCUAAGUAGCGGCGAGCGAAAAGGAAAGAGCCCAAACCAUCACCGCAGGUGAUGGGGUUUAGGACCACGAGAAGGUAUAUGGAGUGAAGCCGAACAGACCUGGGAAGGCAGGCCAAAGAAGGUGAAAGCCCUGUAGGCGUAAGCUUUAAAUACCGAGUGGGAUCCAGAGUACCACAGGAUAGGCAACCCGGUGGGAAGACGGGAGGACCAUCUCCCAAGGCUAAAUACUCCUAAGUGACCGAUAGCGCAAAGUACCGUGAGGGAAAGGUGAAAAGAACCCCGGGAGGGGAGUGAAAGAGAACCUGAAACCAUAUGUCCACAAGCAGUGGAAGUCCGGCACUCAACUGAACAUGUUAGAGAGAAGAAAAAAAGAACUAGCGUGUCCAGUUGAGAGCCGGACGACCACGUACUUUUUGUAGAACGGACCGGCGAGUUAUAGAUAUGCAGCGAGGUUAAGCGAAAGCGGAGCCGAAGCGAAAGCGAGUCUUAAGAGGGCGAAAGUUGCAUAUCAUAGACCCGAAACCGUGCGACCUACCCAUGAUCAGGGUGAAGCCGGAGUAAGAUCUGGUGGAGGCCCGAACCACGUUGACGUUGAAAAGUCAUGGGAUGAAUUGUGGGUAGCGGAGAAAUUCCAAUCGAGCUCGGAGAUAGCUGGUUCUCCCCGAAAUAGCUUUAGGGCUAGCCUCAGGGG
rnacentral:rRNA from 1 species